GUUUGGAUAGAUUAGAAUUUAGAAGUUAUUCUUGGUUUGGUUUUGAAGAUUUGCUUAUUUUGAGAAGAUGCGUUCUCCUUGGCCAUUGAAUAAGGGAUAUUCGUUCGUUGAAUUUUAUUGUUCGAUGGUUUCUUCUAAGUAGCGAAUAAAAUUUCCAAAAGAGCAUGUCUCAGGAGAUCAUCAACAGCCGUGAGCUGCAGAUGAUGAUAACGUUGGAUUAAAGGUGCGAAUGCGAGCACGGUGAUGAGUUGACUCCCUGACCAGUCCUGAGCUGGCCAUAGGCGAAACAUAGUUUAAGGGCUUGAGGGAACUAAUGGCCUCUCGGGCUGUUGCAAGGGAUGAGAAAGAUCCCUUCAGUGUUUGCAUCUCAUGAGAUUGUCAAACGCCACACGUUUAAAUUUAUUUAUCACAUGGUUUGUCGUUUAUUACUAUAUGUUGAUUAAAUUUAUAGAAAAUUGUAAACAAUAUAACAAACAGCCCUUCUUCUAUAUUAUAUAGACUGAUCAGUAGACUCAUAAUUUCAAAAGAUUUUUCAGCCGGUACCUUAUAUAAGUAAUUUAUUGAUAUUCUCAACUUAGGGUUACAUGGACCCGGAAUUAUAAGGAUGAAGAUUAAGAAGUGGAUGCAAACAAAGAUAUUGAAGAGGAGAUGAUGCCGGGGCUGCUGCAGAUUGUGAUCGUUCUCGUCGUUGCAUGAGACUCUUGAGUCGUUGUUGGCAUCGAAUGCUAGCUGCAGAGGUGGCAAGUCAAAAAAGUUGCCAACUCUCUCCAGUGAAGCUGAGAGGCAAAGCUGCAUUGAUGGAUACUAUGCAAUAGUUGGACCUUACUCCUUAGCAAAUUCAGAUAUUUUUCAAGAAACAAGUGAUAGUCCCCUACCCUGCUUUUGUCCCCCAAAAAAGUCUAAAAGAUAUGCACCACUAGUUUGUUUUGAUAACUGUACAAGAAAAGAUAAGGGCAAGCAUUAUAUUAGUAUUUGCUGUGAAAACUUCUCAUUUGAAGCAUCACAAAUCAGAAUAUUGUCUUAAGCUCCAUAAUGCUUUUGAGUUGAGACCCUAAAGUUUAUUGUUUUUUCACUAGUGAUUGAUAAGAUUCUCUAAGCACACUGGUCUCCAUGUACAUUUUUUUUCAAUAAUGUUAAUUUGCCUCAGACAAUAUAAGUUUUGGAUAGUACUGCUAUAAUUUUUUCAUUACCAGCAUUUUCUUGGAGUACCAUGUAGUGGAAACUGAAAGGUCUGCAAAAAAAUAAUAUUAGUAUUGGAAAACAAUGAUAUUUUUCUUUGAGGGGAAGCAAAAUGAUGAGCAAUGAGAGGCCCCAAGAAUUGCACAGAAUUAGAUUGAA